GUAGGGAAUAUUGCGCAAUGGGGGAAACCCUGACGCAGCAACGCCGCGUGAGUGAGGAAGGUCUUCGGAUUGUAAAACUCUUUUGUUAGGGAAAAAUGGACCAGUAACUAAUAGCGCUGGUUUUGAUGGUACCUAAAGAAUAAGCACCGGCUAACUUCGUGCCAGCAGCCGCGGUAAUACGAAGGGUGCAAGCGUUGUUCGGAAUCAUUGGGCGUAAAGCGCGCGCAGGCGGAUCAGUAAGUCAGGUGUGAAAUCUCGAAGCUCAACUUCGAAACUGCGCCUGAAACUACUAGUCUAGAAUGUCGGAGGGGGCAGGGGAAUUUCACGUGUAGGGGUAAAAUCCGUAGAGAUGUGAAGGAACACCGGAGGCGAAGGCGCCUGCCUGGACGACUAUUGACGCUGAGGCGCGAAAGCGUGGGGAGCAAACAGGAUUAGAAACCCUAGUAGUCC
rnacentral:rRNA from 1 species